rnacentral:rRNA from 1 species
CCUACGGGUGGCAGCAGUGAGGAAUAUUGGUCAAUGGGCGGACGCCUGAACCAGCCAAGUCGCGGGAGGGAAGACUGCUCUAUGGGUUGUAAACCUCUUUUGUCAGGGAGCAACGCCGGCUACGUGUAGCCGGACUGAGAGCACCUGAAGAAAAAGCAGCGGCUAACUCCGUGCCAGCAGCCGCGGUAAUACGGAGGAUGCGAGCGUGACCAGGAUUGAUUGGGUUUAAAGGGUGCGUAGGCGGAAUGCCAAGUCAGCGGUAAAAUCGCGGGGCUCAACCUCGCUCCGCCGUUGAAACUGGCGUUCUUGAGUGGGCGAGAAGUAUGCGGAAUGCGUGGUGUAGCGGUGAAAUGCACAGAUAUCACGCAGAACUCCGAUUGCGAAGGCAGCAUACCGGCGCCCAACUGACGCUGAGGCACGAAAGCGUGGGUAUCGAACAGGAUUAGAUACCCUUGUAGUC